rnacentral:rRNA from 1 species
UACCCGCAGCUCAAGUGGUGGUCAUUAUUAUUGGGCCUAAAGCGUCCGUAGCUGGCUUGUUAGAUGCCUGGGUAAAUCGAUGCGCUUAACGUAUCGAAUUCCGGGUAGACCGGCAAGCUCGAGACCGGGAGAGGCGUGAGCUACUCGAGGGGUAGGGGUAAAAUCCUGUAAUCCUUCGGGGGAGGACCAGUGGCGAAGGCGUCACGCUAGAACGGCUCUGACAGUGAGGGACGAAGCCCCUGGGGCGCAAACCGG